GUGAAUCAUCAAAUCUUUGAACGCAACUUGCACUCCUUUGGGUGAGUAUGCCUGUUUGAGGGUCAGUCUAAAGAAAAUCGAUCUAGUUGUUGCUACGUGGUAACAUUCGUCGGGAAUUGGGUCAUCUUAAACCUUUGGGUCUCAGUGGCUUAACAUUUUCUUUACGACUCUAAGAACGCUCAUAAGAUUUUAUUUUCUUAUAAGUUUAAGGUAUCGAUCUUUUU
rnacentral:misc_RNA from 1 species